UGCUUUCCCUGGCCCAUCAAGCCUUCUCCCGUGCUGGCCCAGUUGGACUUCCCUGGCGAUAGAGCCCACCGGCGAGCGCUCCUUCUUCCUCCCGACGUCACCUCCUGUACGACGCGCGCUCAACCUCCCGAUCGCCCUCUUCUCGAUCCAGCGGCUCGAGCUCGCCUCCCGAGGCGUUAAAAGGAGCCCGAGACCUCCUCCUCCGCCCUAGGGUUCCCUCUCCUUUCCUCCCCAGCGCCGCCAGUUUCCCUCGUGCCCUCGUUCUUCCCUGGUAAGUUCUGAGAGAAAGCAGAGAGAGAGGGUGCAGCGCCUCCUCCGUCUAACCGCCGAUCCGUCGUCUCCGGCACUGGGCGCCAUGUCCGGGGGCUCGGGGCGGCUCCCCGCGUCCCAUUCCCGGCGCUAGGACCCCGAGGCGCNNNGCUGAGGCCCCGUGGCCCCCCCCCCCCCCCCCCCGUCGAGCUCGUCCCCGUCUUCUGGGCGAACCGGGCGAACUGCGCGGCUCCUCUUCUUCGCCUCCGGCGUCCUCCGCCCCGUGCGGCGCCCCCUCUUCGCCCC
rnacentral:lncRNA from 1 species